GCGGGGAUAGCCAAGCCCGGGCAACGGCGCAGGACUUAAAAUCCUGCCGCGAAGGCGUUCGCCGGUUCAAAUCCGGCUCCCCGCA
rnacentral:tRNA from 2 species